UGACGAGUUUGAUCCUGGCUCAGAUUGAACGCUGGCGGUAUGCCUUACACAUGCAAGUCGAACGGUAGAGGGGGCAACCCCUUGAGAGUGGCGAACGGGUGAGUAAUACAUCGGAACGUGCCCAGUCGUGGGGGAUAACGUAGUGAAAAUUACGCUAAUACCGCAUACGAUCUAAGGAUGAAAGCGGGGGAUCGCAAGACCUCGCGCGAUUGGAGCGGCCGAUAUCAGAUUAGGUAGUUGGUGAGGUAAACGGCUCACCAACGCCAACGAUCUGUAGCUGGUCUGA
rnacentral:rRNA from 1 species